rnacentral:lncRNA from 1 species
UAGCUCAAGGUUUGUAAACACACCAAUCAGCACUCUGUGUCUAGCUCAGGGUUUGUAAGUACACCAAUCAACACUCUGUAUCUAGCUAAUCUAGUGGGGAACUGCCACCUUUUCAUAUACCUGUUUACCAUUUGUAUGUCUUCUUUAGAAAAAUGUCUAUUCAGCUUCUUUGCCCAUUUUAUAAUUGAGUUGUUUCUUUUUUAAAAAAAAAAAAAAAAAAAAAAAAAAAAAAAAAAAAAAAAAAAAAAAAAAAAAAAAAAAAAAAAAAAAAAAAAAAAAAAAAAAAAAAAAAAAAAAAAAAAAAAAAAAAAAAAAAAAAAAAAAAAAAAAAAAAAAAAAAAAAAAAAACUCUGUUUCGGUACCAGUACCAUGCUGUUUUGGUUACUAUAGCCUAGUAGUAUAGUUUGAAGUCAGCUAGUGUGAUGCCUCCAGCUUUGUUCUUUUGGCUUAGGAUUGUCUUGGAAAUGUGGGCCCUUUUUUGGUUCCAUAUGAACUUUAAAGUAGUUAACAAAGUAGAAAGAAAACAUUAGCAGACAUUUCAGACUAAUGAUGUUUUCUUUUUUUCAAGUGGGUUAUUUAGAGUUGAAUAGCAAUUACUUAAAGCUAGUAGCAUAGGAACAUUUUCUGUAAUGAUGUUUAUUUAUGCCUUUUCAUUCUAUUAAGGAAAUCUGAAAAAUGUAUGACUUCAGUUAAUACUAAUGUAUUACUAUUGGUUUGUUAAUUAUAACAAAAGUACUGGACUAAUGUAAGAUGUUAAUAAUAGGGAAACUGGGUGUGUGGGCGUAUGGGGACUCUCUGUUCUGCCUUCACAAUUUUCCUAUAAAUCUAAAACUCUUCUGAAAUGAAAAGUUUAUUUUAAAAAAAUAGCUUCUUGCUUCACCAUCCAUUCCACUCUCAUUUAGUACAUCAAAAAAGCAAAAAACAAAACUGAACACAGACUGUGUGCUGGCACUCCUCCUCCUUUCCCAGCAAAUGAGCAGGUUCCACAGCUUCUGCCAAGGGAUCUGCUCACAUCAGGGGCUGCAGGCAACCCCUUCGAUGCUGAAAAUUCUGGAGACUCCCACAGUCUCCAGCCUGCAGGUCCUUCUGUCACUGACAGGAAGAGACUGCCAUUUUCAGGUGAAUUUCAAACCUGUCACUUUCCUUUACUGUACACACAUAAAACAAGCCCUCUGAGAUUCUAGAUCAAGUGCACACAUUGCAGGUGAAUCACUCUUAGGACUUCUACCACGGCAUGCAGAGUGGAUAUCAAAACUCCAACAAAAAAAAAAAAAAAGAGAGAGAUAAUCUAUUCAAAUUUCGCAGUUUAUAGGAAAGGAACUCAAGACAACAAAUAAAUUGAGUUUCCCAAGUUGGACAGGUGAAGGUAGCACAGCUAUGACUCUGACUUAGGUGUUAUUUCAAAUCCAUUGUGCUUUCAACACCAGGUUAUUAUUUUUUUUCAUUCUGACUAAUAAAAACAAAACCAAGGCAUAUAAUUCUAAUUGUUUUUUCAUUGCUUUGGGAUUCCAGCCGCUGGUGGGUACCAUAACUUGUAGAGGGGAAAGGUAAAUGCAGUUUAUGUGAUAUAACUUAUUUACAAUAACCUUUAGUUUAUUUUGAGGAUAUAGAUUACCUUUCAACAUGCUGGUCUUGUGUAGCUGUUUUUUUUUUCCUUAUCAAUAAAAUUUUAAAAGGGCAACCAAUGUUCCGAAAAAGAACUAUAGUACUUGGGGAGCAAAACUGUAUUAAUUUGUGAUGGCUGUUGUUUCAUAGCAUAACCUUCUGUAUCUUAUCGAACCAGGUUUUAUUGUGAGUGGAUUAUUUGGCUUUUAUUGUUUAGUUGUGCAAAACUUUACAAUUAUUAGAAAGAAAUUGCUGUUUUGAAGCUUGUGCUUAAUGGGUUAUUUAAUUGAACAAUAUUUGCAGUGAAUCCUGGGAUAACACUUAUUUUACUAAUCAACUCUACAUUUAGAAGGGCUUAUACUUAAUUAUUCCAAAAACAGCUGCAUACGGUUUAGUGGGCUUUUUUGGGUCCAUGUCCCUGAAACAAUUUUCUGGGAUGAAGAGAUUCCAGUGGGAAACCUCGCUGGUAUUCUGUUUCAGGCCAGCAACUCAGUCUUUAAGGUAAAUCUUUAAAGUCCAAUCCUUAAUGUAAAAAAUCACUCACUGGGCUGGCAGACCAAGCAUUUUCAUCUGGCCUGUGACUGCAGAUCUCUUCCAUUGUGAUCUGUGUGUGAGAGAUUUUAGUGUUUCCACACAAAGACA